UACGUAGGUGGCAAGCGUUAUCCGGAAUUAUUGGGCGUAAAGAGCGCGCAGGUGGUUGAUUAAGUCUGAUGUGAAAGCCCACGGCUUAACCGUGGAGGGUCAUUGGAAACUGGUCGACUUGAGUGCAGAAGAGGGAAGUGGAAUUCCAUGUGUAGCGGUGAAAUGCGUAGAGAUAUGGAGGAACACCAGUGGCGAAGGCGGCUUCCUGUUCUGUAACUGACACUGAGGCGCGAAAGCUUGGGGAGCAAACAGGAUUAGAUA
rnacentral:rRNA from 1 species